CAAUAGCGUAUAUUAAAGUUGUUGCAGUUAAAAAGCUCGUAGUUGAAUUUUUGCUUGCCGCCGAUGUCGGAACUUCCGUACGUUCGGCGGCGUGCAUCCUUGGGUGGAACCUGUGUGGCAUUAGGUUGUCGUGCAGGGGAUGCUCAUCGUUUACUGUGAAAAAAUUAGAGUGUUCAAAGCAGGCUUACGCCGUUGAAUAUAUUAGCAUGGAAUAAUAAGAUAGGACCUUGGUACUAUUUUGUUGGUUUGCGCACCGAGGUAAUGAUUAACAGGGACAGUUGGGGGUAUUCGGAUUCCAUUGUCAGAGGUGAAAUUCUUGGAUUUCUGGAAGACGAACUACUGCGAAAGCAUUUACCAAGGAUGUUUUCAUUAA
rnacentral:rRNA from 1 species